GCCUACGGGUGGCAGCAGUGAGGAAUAUUGGUCAAUGGGCGAGAGCCUGAACCAGCCAAGUCGCGUGAGGGAGUACUGCCCUAUGGGUUGUAAACCUCUUUUGUCGGGGAGCAAAAGCCGGACGUGUCCGGCUGUGAGCGUACCCGAAGAAAAAGCAUCGGCUAACUCCGUGCCAGCAGCCGCGGUAAUACGGAGGAUGCGAGCGUUAUCCGGAUUUAUUGGGUUUAAAGGGUGCGUAGGCGGGUUAUCAAGUCAGCGGUAAAAUCGUGGAGCUCAACUCCAUCCAGCCGUUGAAACUGAUGAUCUUGAGUGGGCGAGAAGUAUGCGGAAUGCGUGGUGUAGCGGUGAAAUGCAUAGAUAUCACGCAGAACUCCGAUUGCGAAGGCAGCAUACCGGCGCCCGACUGACGCUGAAGCACGAAAGCGUGGGUAUCGAACAGGAUUAGAUACCCCUGUAGUC
rnacentral:rRNA from 1 species